UUGCAAUUUCCCAGUUCCAGGAUCCAUUACCACGUUUUCGGCAUGGACCCCUCUAUCCAUUUCUGCAUGUAAUUCCGGCUUCAACCCAUCAUGAGAUGACAGGUUGCAGUUCAUCUCGGAUUCUCCAAACUCCUCUUUGUACAUUUCCUCAACCAUUGGCUUCCAAAGACGCACCCGUGCAUUGAUGAACCAAUUUGCCACCUGAUGUCAACAUUGGAUGCCUCAACAAAGAUCAGAAACCAACCAUGAAAAAAGAGAAAAAAUGUUCAGGGUGAGGGUGAUAUGUGAAUGUGACAUACGGAUGAAGAAAAUGUUCAAAGAGCCAAGCACGGAGUAUUGAA